rnacentral:rRNA from 1 species
GAUGAACGCUGGCGGCGUGCCUAAUACAUGCAAGUCGAGCGAACGGACGAGAAGCUUGCUUCUCUGAUGUUAGCGGCGGACGGGUGAGUAACACGUGGAUAACCUACCUAUAAGACUGGGAUAACUUCGGGAAACCGGAGCUAAUACCGGAUAAUCUUUUGCACCGCAUGGUUCAAUAGUGAAAGACGGUCUUGCUGUCACUUAUAGAUGGAUCCGCGCUGCAUUAUCUAGUUGGUAAGGUAACGGCUUACCAAGGCAACGAUGCAUAGCCGACCUGAGAGGGUGAUCGGCCACACUAGAACGGAGACACGGUCAAGACUCCUACGGGAGGCAGCAGUAGGGAAUCUUCCGCAAUAGGCGAAAGCCUGACGGAGCAACGCCGCGUGAGUGAUGAAGGUCUUCGGAUCGUAAAACUCUGUUAUUAGGGAAGAACAUAUGUGUAAGUAACUGUGCACAUCUUGACGGUACCUAAUCAGAAAGCCACGGCUAACUACGUG